GCUGCGCUGCCUACACAUGCAAGUUGACGAACUGAAAUUUGUAAAAAUUUUAGUUAAGUAGCGAACGGGUGAGUAACAUGUAAGAACCUACCUUUAGGAGGAGGAUAACCAUUGGAAACGAUGGCUAAAACUCCGUACACUGAGGAGUAAAAAGUGAAAACUGCCUAAAGAUGGGCUUGCAUCUGAUUAGCUUGUUAGUAAACUAAAUAGUUACUAAGGCGAUGAUCAGUAGUUGGUCUAAGAGGAUGAUCAACCACACUGGGACUGAGACACGGCCCAGACCUCUACGGAGGGCAGCAGUGAGGAAUUUUCCGCAAUGAGCGAAAGCUUGACGGAGCAAUGCCGCGUGGAUGAUGAAGGCUUUUGAGUCGUAAAAUCCUUUUCUUAGUGAAGAAAAUAGACGGUAGCUAAAGGAAUAAGCAUCGGCUAAUUCCGUGCCAGCAGCCGCGGUAAUACGGAAGAUGCAAGCGUUAUUCGGAAUUAUUGGGCGUAAAGCGUCUGUAGGUGGUUCAUUAAGUCUGCUGUUAAGGAUCAAGGCUUAACCUUGAAAAAGCGGUAAGAAACUAAAAAACUUGAGUUUAGUAGAGGUAAAGGGAAUUCUCGGUGUAGUGGUGAAAUGCGUAGAUAUCGGGAAGAACACCUGUGGCGAAAGCGCUUUACUGGGCUAAAACUGACACUGAGAGACGAAAGCUAGGGGAGCAAAUAGGAUUAGAUACCCUAGUAGUCCUAGCCGUAAACGAUGGAUACUAAGUGUUGGACAAUAAAAAGUUCAGUGCUGUAGCUAACGCGUUAAGUAUCCCGCCUGGGAAGUAUGCUCGCAA
rnacentral:rRNA from 1 species